rfam:Schistosoma rodhaini strain Burundi genome assembly, scaffold: SROB_scaffold0010468
AUCCAGCUAACGAGUCCCAAAUAGGCCUAAACGCACGUUCUGGAU